AGUGAACGCUGGCGGCGUGCCUAACACAUGCAAGUCGAAGGAAGUGGCGCACGGGUGAGUAAUAUAUAGCUAAUCUGCCCCUUGCUGGAGGACAACAGUUAGAAAUGACUACUAAUACUCCAUAGCAAGGGAUGAGACUAUAUCGUAUCAGCUAGUCGGUGGGGUAACGGCCUACCGAGGCGAUGACGCGUCACUGGUCUGAGAGGAUGAUCAGUUGCAUUGGAACUGAGACACGGUCGAAGCACCUUCGGGAAUGAGCGGUAGGGAGUAUUGCGCAGUGGGGGUAGCACAGACGCACCAACGCGGUGUAGAGGAUGACACUUUUCGAGGAGUCAACUCCUUUUGAUAGGAAAGCGAUACCUAACGAAUAAGCACCGGCUAACUCCGUGCCAGCAGCCGCGGUAAUAC
rnacentral:rRNA from 1 species